UUUUAAAUUUGUUAAAUAUUUAGUGUAAUAUACUUCUUUAUUAAAUGGGUAUUGUGAAUUGUGACAUCUUUUUAUUAAAUGGGUAUUGAUACUCUUGCUAUGAUGUAGUGUAAUAGCACAAAUUAUUGAAAAAAAAAUCAAUUGUUUAAUAUUUUAUUUCUUAUUUGCUUGAAUUGAGACAACAUUGAUGGUUGUUAUUGCUAUUACAUAAAUUCUUCUAUAUGUCUUGAAUUAAGAUAGUCGUGAUAGUUGCUUAUAUGUCUCAUAGAACUCAACCAUGACAUGAAUUCUUCUAUAUUUUGCCUAAUUGUGUAUGCCAAAACCAUUAAUCUAUCAUUCAUAAUUCUACCAUUGAAACUUUAGUGAUGGGUAUUGUUUUGUU
rnacentral:misc_RNA from 1 species